ACGGGUGAGUAAUGUCUGGGAAACUGCCUGAUGGAGGGGGAUAACUACUGGAAACGGUAGCUAAUACCGCAUAACGUCGCAAGACCAAAGAGGGGGACCUUCGGGCCUCUUGCCAUCAGAUGUGCCCAGAUGGGAUUAGCUAGUAGGUGGGGUAACGGCUCACCUAGGCGACGAUCCCUAGCUGGUCUGAGAGGAUGACCAGCCACACUGGAACUGAGACACGGUCCAGACUCCUACGGGAGGCAGCAGUGGGGAAUAUUGCACAAUGGGCGCAAGCCUGAUGCAGCCAUGCCGCGUGUAUGAAGAAGGCCUUCGGGUUGUAAAGUACUUUCAGCGGGGAGGAAGGUGUUGCGGUCAAUAACCGCAGCAAUUGACGUUACCCGCAGAAGAAGCACCGGCUAACUCCGUGCCAGCAGCCGCGGUAAUACGGAGGGUGCAAGCGUUAAUCGGAAUUACUGGGCGUAAAGCGCACGCAGGCGGUCUGUCAAGUCGGAUGUGAAAUCCCCGGGCUCAACCUGGGAACUGCAUUCGAAACUGGCAGGCUAGAGUCUUGUAGAGGGGGGUAGAAUUCCAGGUGUAGCG
rnacentral:rRNA from 1 species